rnacentral:rRNA from 1 species
CACGUAGGGGGCGAGCGUUGUUCGGAAUUACUGGGCGUAAAGGGCGCGUAGGCGGCUUAUCAAGUCAGGCGUGAAAUUCCCGGGCUCAACCUGGGGGCUGCGCUUGAUACUGAUGAGCUUGAAUGCGGGAGAGGAUAGUGGAAUUCCCAGUGUAGAGGUGAAAUUCGUAGAUAUUGGGAAGAACACCGGUGGCGAAGGCGGCUAUCUGGCCCGUAAUUGACGCUGAGGCGCGAAAGCGUGGGGAGCAAACAGG